rnacentral:rRNA from 1 species
AUGGCGUACACGCGCGGCGUUGUCCAGGCCUCGGCCAGUCCCCAAAUCGAAACCCUCGCAAGUCAUGUCCGUGCCGCCGGCGGGUCCUGCCGGCGCCGCCGGGAACCCUUCCUUCGGCGGGUGGUCCUUCUGGAGCAUGCAGAAGAACCGCGGCCUCUCCCCCGCCUCCACCACCUACACCGUGAACAACGAGGGCUAUUCCGUCUGGACCUCCGUGGACGGCGAGUGGCGGCCCAGGUCUCCCAUCCCCGCGGAUCCCCUCGCACCCGAGUACUACCACGACAUCACCGAGUUCUACCUCGAGGCGGCCCGCCGCCCCUCCCCAUCGCCGACAUCCCAGGCCUCGCCCGCUGCAUCUCCUACUGCGGCCUCGCCGUCGGCCUCGCCGACCCCGUCACCAACAUCGUGCUCACCACCAUCAACGCCUUCGCCAAGAGACCACCGGGACCGGGCUAUUUUUUCCUGGACGCAAAGCCCGACGAUGCACUAGAGCAAAGCAAGAAGAGGAUCACCUUCGCUGACGGCGCCGGCAACUCCCGCGCGGGCCUCGUCAUGUUCAUGCUGUGCUACUUCCGCCACAUGACGGAGGCGCAGGCCAAGAAAUUCCUCGACAUGGCCGGCCACGACCUCCCCCUGGCCAUCCUCCUCGUCGAGGCCGGCUGCCGGGGCUGCCAUGUUCCACUGCAGCCCGAUGGUGCCAGGAUCAAGACCGCCUUGCAGCAGGCCGCGCGAAAACAUCUCAGUGCCGACCGCGUCUACAAAAUCUGCGACUUGCUGCGCUGCUCAUGGCCGCCGCCGCCAAUCCCUGCGCCUACUCCAGGCUUUUAUCGUGACAACAGUGGGAACGUCACCACAAUCAUCAAGGUCAGAGAAGGCGUUUUCGCCACAACCACCAUAUCCAGAGACCUCGUCGCCACGACCACAAUCACCUCAACUUGUCCGAGCCAGCAUGAUGAUGAUAAUUACGCUUACACCGGCGGCAACAAUAAUGUCCAUCUCUCAACUGUUUUAGCCGUAGAGAGAAGCUCGAGAGUGAACAACACAUGGCGGGAGAACCCCGACUUCCUCCCGCUUCUCAAGAUGUCUCUUCUUCGUACCAUUCACGGCUUCUACAUCAACGCGCUUGGCAUACUGCACAGCCAUGCAUUACACGAGCAGCACCUCGUCAGUGCCGUCCUCACAGCCGGACACUGCUACGGCCCUAUGGAUCCCGUGUCCAACAUCAUACUCAACUCUAUUUGGUACGAUGCUGCCUUCCCGGUCCCAGAGAAAAUCUGCAAUCGGGUUGGUACAGCUGAUAUUCUCGAUGCUAGGUCGAUGUCCCGUGUUGAAUCACGUUCCCGCGAUGGCUUUGUCGCGCUCGUCUGCUACACGUACUCAAUCUCGGAGCAACAAGCAGUGGUACUACUUUGCGAGCAUCGCUUCAACCUCCCAUCCUUGCAACAGGGCUCAAAGGAAAUAUUGUCCAAUUUAGCUUCUGCGUCACUGAUUGCCAAACACCCGCAACCCGCCGCCUUCGAGGAUUUCCUCAAUUCCCUGACCCCCAGUAAACUUGAUUGUCUGCACUCCCUUGUAAUAUCGGACAGAACUUCGGGCAAUGCUCUCUCUGAUGAUACUUUAAACCGGCUAAAGAAGAUGGUGAGCGAGGAAACAUCAGAUAACGCAGCAGCAACGGUGCAAAGUACGGCUCCUCGUCUGGGCCAGGCUAACUUGUAUAGAGUGUCUGAAAGGAGGUCGACCUUCAAGUCUGAGCAGGCUUAUGUUCGCGCAAGAUUGGAAAAUUUACUGCUCGACUACGGCCGCGAUAAGGGACACACAUACAAGCUUGGUAUUAUUUGUGGAGUGACAACAGCCACAUACUGCUACCGACAUUCCUUCUACGCAACCUGCUUUCAUAUCAACUUUUUGGUGAGCAGUGAUGUCUCAAAUGAUGGCACGGGGUCAUUUUGUUCGUGGGAACUCUUCUUUGCCGAAUUCUGGAACGGAGCUGAUGAAAGAAUUGAGCAACAAUCAACAAAUUUGCCUUUCUGCUGCCCGGUGAAGGAUUCUUUCGAUGCCUAUUCCAUUCGCUGCAUCGUUUGCGACCAUACUUCAUGUAUGAUUGCACAUCCAUCUUCGGGCAUGUAUUACACGGGCAACACUCGACCUGGUUUCCCAGUACACCGCAAGUGGGGAGAUGAUCUACGUGGAAUGCUGGAGUUAGAUUUUAUAUAUUUUGAUCGAAGAAAUAGUGAAUCUGCAAAGACCCUAUUGAAGGAUCGGAGUUUCCUUUCGUCCCAUAGGAAGCCGAUAGCUAGAGCCAGUGUCAAACUUGAUGAUCCUGUUGAUGCAGUCUCGCAAACACCCAACAGACAGUGA